rnacentral:tRNA from 1 species
UCUUGUAGCUCAGUUGGUAAAGAAUCUGCCUGCAACACAGAAUACCCGGGUUCGAUUCCUGGGUCAGGAA